GACGAACGCUGGCGGCGUGCCUAAUACAUGCAAGUAGAACGCUGAAGGAGGAGCUUGCUUCUCUGGAUGAGUUGCGAACGGGUGAGUAACGCGUAGGUAACCUGCCUGGUAGCGGGGGAUAACUAUUGGAAACGAUAGCUAAUACCGCAUAAGAGUAGAUGUUGCAUGACAUUUGCUUAAAAGGUGCAAUUGCAUCACUACCAGAUGGACCUGCGUUGUAUUAGCUAGUUGGUGGGGUAACGGCUCACCAAGGCGACGAUACAUAGCCGACCUGAGAGGGUGAUCGGCCACACUGGGACUGAGACACGGCCCAGACUCCUACGGGAGGCAGCAGUAGGGAAUCUUCGGCAAUGGACGGAAGGCUGACCGAGCAACGCCGCGUGAGUGAAGAAGGUUUUCGGAUCGUAAAGAUCUGUUGUAAGAGAAGAACGAGUGUGAGAGUGGAAAGUUCACACUGUGACGGUAUCUUACCAGAAAGGGACGGCUAACUACGUG
rnacentral:rRNA from 1 species